rnacentral:rRNA from 1 species
GAACGCUGGCGGCAGGCCUAACACAUGCAAGUCGAACGGUAACAGGAAGCAGCUUGCUGCUUUGCUGACGAGUGGCGGACGGGUGAGUAAUGUCUGGGAAACUGCCUGAUGGAGGGGGAUAACUACUGGAAACGGUGGCUAAUACCGCAUAACGUCGCAAGACCAAAGAGGGGGACCUUCGGGCCUCUUGCCAUCAGAUGUGCCCAGAUGGGAUUAGCUWGUUGGUGAGGUAACGGCUCACCAAGGCGACGAUCCCUAGCUGGUCUGAGAGGAUGACCAGCCACACUGGAACUGAGACACGGUCCAGACUCCUACGGGAGGCAGCAGUGGGGAAUAUUGCACAAUGGGCGCAAGCCUGAUGCAGCCAUGCCGCGUGUAUGAAGAAGGCCUUCGGGUUGUAAAGUACUUUCAGCGGGGAGGAAGGUGUUGUGGU